GGACUACUGGGGUAUCUAAUCCUGUUCGCUCCCCACGCUUUCGCUCCUCAGCGUCAGUAAUGGCCCAGAGACCCGCCUUCGCCACCGGUGUUCCUCCUGAUAUCUGCGCAUUCCACCGCUACACCAGGAAUUCCAGUCUCCCCUGCCAUACUCCAGCCUGCCCGUACCGGAAGCAGACCCACCGUUAAGCAGUGGGCUUUCACUUCCGACGCGACAGGCCGCCUACGAGCCCUUUACGCCCAAUAAAUCCGGACAACGCUCGCACCCUACGUAUUACCGCGGCUGCUGGCAC
rnacentral:rRNA from 1 species